GGCUCCAACCGCCCAGGUGAACCGGCUACCGCCCGCAAGGCGCGACCCUCCGGCUUUGCCCUGCGCCUAGCGCGUGGGCCCGCCCGCGUUUCCCGAGCUCCUGGCCGAGUGCACCCCGCAGUCCAGACAACGCAGACACCCGCCUGAGCAAGGGCUCGCUGUACAGUAAGCUUUGUAAUGAAGCAUAACAUCUAGCAAGAGAAACUAGAUCAGAAAGCCAUGGAAUCAAAGUAGGGAAGGUGAUGGACUGAAUGCGGUAAGCUGCCCGAAUGAAGCAAGAAGAUCUUCUUCCCAGGGCUCAGUAGACCACAGGCUCCCUCCCUGUGAACCCGAGCUCACUCGGGCUCAUGAGCCCUCAGUCUCAUCUAUGGUUUCCGACUAAGCUGUAGCACUCUGAUGUGGGAGGCUGUGAUGGACUCUUCAUCUAGAAAUCAGACAUGAUCUUUGACAAAUUCUCAUCUUUAAACCUCCAACGGCAACAAUGUGACAAAUGAACUGGGGUGCAGCAAGUGGAUGCCAGGUGACCAAUUAGCAAGCUACUGAAGUCGCAGAAGCAAGAGAUAAUGAUAAGAUGUUUGUCUCUAAUGUAGGGGAUGAACUGGAUGGAAAUGUUUCUGCAGCUGCAUAUUCAACUCCUCUGGUCCUACUGCAAAUCUUGGGGCUUUCCAGCCUUUUGGGGAGGCCAGCCGUUUCUAGGUGCUAAGGAUGGACCAUGAGUGGAGGAAGAGGACAUUUCUCCAAUAUAUGACAUAACUGAUUGGCCAGGGAAUUCAAGGUCCCACAAAGUAGAAUGCUGCAGUGUUUAUUAUCUACUGAGCAGUUAGUUUUACAUAAUGAACAACUCUUAAUAUACAAGUAUUUCAGAUGAUUAACAGUAAUUUAAACUGCUUUCACAAAUCCUCUAUGACUGCUUUUCACCGUGGGUAAUCACCCUCCAAUCCCUCCUCUGGAAAGUUAUUUUGUUCUUGGAUAACUGAAAAAUUUACUCUAUAUCUGUAGAUAGUCUAUACUUCCAUGAAUUGGCAUGCAAGCCUAAGGCAGGAAAAUGAUUCU